ensembl:lncRNA
CAUGACCAAGCGUACGCGCGUGCGCGUGUGUGUGCGUGUGUGUAUGAGUGUGUAUGUGAGUGUGUGAGUGAGGGGGGAGAGAGACAGACGACGGGAGAGUUCUGUUCUUUCACUGCUCCAUCCGGGAACUUUAGAAUUAGCAUUGACAGCCGAAGCGCAACUUUUCUCCAGGCAAAGUGAAAUCAAGCCGCGGACUCGGACAAAAUCUAGUCCCCCUUUUUCAACUCGAAAUUAUCGAAAGAAGCGGCACGCCACGAUUUGGUCGGAUGUAUCGAUAUUCGGACGUAUUUGGGAUGUAACUGACCGAGGUCCUGGCUCUUUCCGCUGUGUUUGGACCACUUUUUUCGACGGGCGUAAAGUGGGUGAUGAGUCCUACCCUGUAAAGAAGCGAGAACUUGCUUUUGCAGCCCCGAGUAGUUCUUCUUUCAAUUGUUAUUGCCGCUUUAAAAAAAUCUUUAAUUCACUUAAACUUCGUACGCAUCGCGUCGAAAGUGGGAGAAAAGUGCUUUUGAAGUCGGACCAUGGAACUACAAGGCCUACAAGAGGCGCUGAAAGUAGAGAUCCAAUGCCAUCAGGUAAACGAAGCGUCGUGUUAUUAUAUCCUUAUUGGUGUUGUGAGCGAUGCGAGAGGAGAGGGGCGAAGGGAAAAAUCGCGAAACGUGACCGAAACGAAUACUCCGAAGAAAUAAGUGUGCGACACCGUAUGAUGCUCGCUGUUUAUAUCGGGGAUAGCGAGGAUAGCGAGGACUUUCGAGUCGGAUUGGGGUACUUUUUGGACUACUUUGCCACGACCUGGGGGUCUUUUUUUAUUGAGCAACAAGAAUCCGGAGUGGUAAUGCAGUGGUGCUGUGUGGCUGUGAUCAGGACGCGACCUGAAUAUUUAUGAGCUGCUGGAGGAAGAGGCUGACUCGCUGGCUGCUCUCCGCUUUGUUCCUCCCUGUCGUACUAAACUUGAGACACUUUUUUUUUGUGCAAAUGCCCCAUUUCGUCCUCUCUCUCCCUCUCUCACUCCCCCUCUCUCUUCGUGUUUAGAAACUAGUUGCACAGAUGAAGCCAGACCCACAGGACGGAGAGCUUAAGAAACAGCUGCACGACAGACACCCCAGAAUAACAAGCCUAAGCGAGAAACAACUGGCAGUGCGGUCCUGUCCGGUAGGGACGACCAAGCCCCUCUCGCUCGUCAAACCGGCCAACCAACAGCAGCAGCAGCAGCAGCAGCAGCAGCAGCAGCAGCAGCAGCAG